GAACUAUUGGGUUUUGUUUUGAAAACAAAAUGGAAGAAUUAUUUCUUGUAGUUUU
rnacentral:tRNA from 1 species